rnacentral:rRNA from 1 species
ACGUAGGGGGCAAGCGUUGUCCGGAGUUACUGGGCGUAAAGCGCACGCAGGCGGUCGAUUAAGUUUGGAGUGACAGUUGGUGGCUUAACCGCCAAAGUGCUUCGAAAACUGAUCGACUUGAGGGCUUCAGAGGGACACGGAAUUCCGGUGGAGCGGUGAAAUGCGUUGAGAUCGGAAGGAACGCCCGUGGCGAAAGCGAGGUCCUGGACGUUUUCUGACGCUGAGACGCGAAAGCCAGGGGAGCGAACGGGA